GAGCGAAGUUUUUCUGGUGCUUGCACCGGAAAAACUUAGCGGCGAACGGGUGAGUAACACGUAAAGAACCUGCCUCAUAGACUGGGACAACUAUUGGAAACGAUAGCUAAUACCGGAUAACAGCAUUAACUGCAUGGUUGAUGUUUAAAAGUUGGUUUUGCUAACACUAUGAGAUGGCUUUGCGGUGCAUUAGCUAGUUGGUGGGGUAAAGGCCUACCAAGGCGACGAUGCAUAGCCGACCUGAGAGGGUGAUCGGCCACACUGGGACUGAGACACGGCCCAGACUCCUACGGGAGGCAGCAGUAGGGAAUCUUCCGCAAUGGGCGAAAGCCUGGCGGAGCAACGCCGCGUGAGUGAAGAAGGAUUUCGGUUCGUAAAGCUCUGUUGUUAGGGAAGAAUGAUUGUGUAGUAACUAUACACAGUAGAGACGGUACCUAACCAGAAAGCCACGGCUAACUACGUGCCAGCAGCCGCGGUAAUACGUAGGUGGCAAGCGUUGUCCGGAAUUAUUGGGCGUAAAGCGCGCGCAGGUGGUUUAAUAAGUCUGAUGUGAAAGCCCACGGCUCAACCGUGGAGGGUCAUUGGAAACUGUUAAACUUGAGUGCAGGAGAGAAAAGUGGAAUUCCUAGUGUAGCGGUGAAAUGCGUAGAGAUUAGGAGGAACACCAGUGGCGAAGGCGGCU
rnacentral:rRNA from 1 species